rnacentral:misc_RNA from 1 species
GAUGAAGAACGCAGCGAAAUGCGAUACUUGGUGUGAAUUGCAGAAUCCCGUGAACCAUCGAGUCUUUGAACGCAAGUUGCGCCCGAAGCCAUUAGGCCGAGGGCAUGCCUGCCUGGGCGUCACACGUCGUUGCCCCCCCAUCUACUCCUUCGGGAUUGCGGGGGGCGGAUGAUGGCCUCCCGUGCGCCUCGCCGCGCGGUUGGCAUAAAUGCCAAGUCCUCGGCGACGCACGCCACGACAAUCGGUGGUUGCGAAACCUCGGUUGCCCGUCGUGUGCGGUCGUCGCGCAUCGAGGGCUCGAAAAAAUUGCCGGGUUCCGGCUCGGCUUUCAACGCGACCCCAGGUCAGGCGGGGUUACCCGCUGAAUUUAAGCAUAUCAAUAAGCGGAGGA